rnacentral:snoRNA from 1 species
AAGGCUGUGCUUUUAGGGAUCAUUUCUCUAGUUGGUGACUGGAGAAGGGUGGUUGUAAAAGCCUGGCCUUGCUAACCACAAUGAGGAUCUGUAGUGUUUCUUUCUGAGCAUGACAAUGGCAGAGUACUAUUCUGUGACAGUUGCUUUCUGUUGUGGAAGAGUGUCUUGUUCUUCCUGACAAGAACAGGGGAAAGAAACAUAGUCUGAGUGGC